GAUGAACGCUGGCGGCGUGCCUAAUACAUGCAAGUCGAGCGAACGGACGAGAAGCUUGCUUCUCUGAUGUUAGCGGCGGACGGGUGAGUAACACGUGGAUAACCUACCUAUAAGACUGGGAUAACUUCGGGAAACCGGAGCUAAUACCGGAUAAUAUUUUGAACCGCAUGGUUCAAAAGUGAAAGACGGUCUUGCUGUCACUUAUAGAUGGAUCCGCGCUGCAUUAGCUAGUUGGUAAGGUAACGGCUUACCAAGGCAACGAUGCAUAGCCGACCUGAGAGGGUGGACGGCCACACUGGAACUGAGACAAGGUCCAGACUCCUACGGGAGGCAGCAGUAGGGAAUCUUCCGCAAUGGGCGAAAGCCUGACGGAGCAACGCCGCGUGAGUGAUGAAGGUCUUCGGAUCGUAAAACUCUGUUAUUAGGGAAGAACAUAUGUGUAAGUAACUGUGCACAUCUUGACGGUACCUAAUCAGAAAGCCACGGCUAAAUACGUG
rnacentral:rRNA from 1 species